CCUACGGGUGGCAGCAGUGGGGAAUAUUGGACAAUGGGGGCAACCCUGAUCCAGCCAUGCCGCGUGUGUGAAGAAGGCCCUCGGGUUGUAAAGCACUUUCAGUGAGGAAGAACGCCUGGUGGUUAAUACCCAUCAGGAAAGACAUCACUCACAGAAGAAGCACCGGCUAACUCCGUGCCAGCAGCCGCGGUAAUACGGAGGGUGCGAGCGUUAAUCGGAAUUACUGGGCGUAAAGCGCGCGUAGGUGGCUUGAUAAGCCGGUUGUGAAAGCCCCGGGCUCAACCUGGGAACGGCAUCCGGAACUGUCAAGCUAGAGUGCAGGAGAGGAAGGUAGAAUUCCCGGUGUAGCGGUGAAAUGCGUAGAGCUCGGGAGGAAUACCAGUGGCGAAGGCGGCCUUCUGGACUGACACUGACACUGAGGUGCGAAAGCGUGGGUAGCAAACAGGAUUAGAUACCCGAGUAGUC
rnacentral:rRNA from 1 species